UUCCGGUUGAUCCUGCCGGAGGCUACCGCUAUUGGAGUUCGAUUAAGCCAUGCGAGUCGAGAGUCCUCGGGACUCGGCGUACCGCUCAGUAACACGUGGGUAACCUGCCCUAUGCUGGGGAAUAACCUCGGGAAACUGAGAACAAUGCCCCAUAGCCCACUACGCCUGGAACGGUGAGUGGGUCAAAGCUCCGGCGGCAUAGGAUGGGCCUGCGCCGUAUCAGGUUGUAGGGGGUGUAAAGUACCCUCUAGCCAUCAACGCGUACGGGUGUUGGGAGACAUUGCCCGGAGAUGGAUUCUGAGACACGAAUCCAGACCCUACGGGGUGCAGCAGGCGCGAAAACUUGGCAAUGCGAGAAAUCGUGACCAGGGAACUCCAAGUGCGUAGGGUAAGACCUACGCUUUUCUUGACUCUUCAAAGGUCUUGGAAUAAGGGGUGGGUAAGGACGGUGCCAGCCGCCGCGGUAAUACCGGCGCCUCAAGUGGUAGUCGCUUUUAUUGGGCCUAAAACGUCCGUAGCCGGUCUGGUGCAUUCGUGGGUAAAUCAACCCGCUCAACGGGUUGAAUUCUGCGAGCACGGCCAGACUUGGGACCGGGAGAGGUGUGGGGUACUCUCAGGGUAGGGGUAAAAUCCUGUCACCCUGAGAGGACCACCUGUUGCGAAGGCGCCACACUAGAACGGAUCCGACGGUCAGGGACGAAACCUAGGGGCACGAACCGGAUUAGAUACCCGGGUAGUCCUAGGUGUAAACGCUGUGGACUUGAUGUUGGGGACGCUCCGAGCGUUCCCAGUGUCGAAGCGAAGGUGAUAAGUCCACUGCCUGGGGAGUACGGUCGCAAGGCUGAAACUUAAAGGAAUUGGCGGGGGAGCACUGCAACCUGAGGAUUGUGCGGUUUAAUUGGAUUCAACGCCGGG
rnacentral:rRNA from 1 species